CUUCUGAACACCCUAGACUUGAUCUCUCUCCUCAGAAAAUAAAUUGUGAUUCAGCAGCAGUACAGGUUAAAGUGAAUUACACAACAGCUUUACCCCCCUUCCUGUCUCAGAGCUAUCUGCCCUUACUGUGUUCUGCCUGCAUCACUGGAGGGCCGUCUCGCUCUGAACACUCCCAUCACGGCUGCGUUCGUUAGAGCUGGUAAUGAAAAGAAGGUGAGUACUGAAGGGACACUGCAGGAGACGGUCUUCCCAAGGAGCUGAACUUUCUGCUCCCUCCUUGGUCAUGGAGAGUUCUGCUGACUCCGGUCACAACCCCGACUGGCAGAUCUUCCCCAGAGGUAACCAAACAGGGGCUCAACUCGGGAAAUUCCUGUAAUUGCAUUAUAAUUCAGGUGCUGAAAACAUUCAUUUUACUGCCAAAGUUCUCUUGGAAGAAAAGCCCAAGUAAUAUAGAGUAACAGAACAGAGCAUGGGGGAGAGGGAUUGAAUCUGAUGCUCAAGAUUAAUGCAGAAGUUUAACAAAAAAAUGAAUCUUGUUUAGACAGUGAAUGGCAGUAAACCAAAAUGCAGACUUCCCCACAAUGACUUAAAAGUGCAUUUGUUUCUUUACUGGAGGGACAUGAUUUUCAUGGCGUACUGCUGUUUCAUGAUGCUGCAUCAGCAAGUAAAAUGUGCCAUAGUGAUCAGGGGCCACGCUGGGAAUGUUUUGUAUUGAAAUUAUGACAGAUUUCUCUCCUGGUGAUUAGUCUGUGAUGGCAGCCCAGGAGUGUCCUGAUAGAGUUGAGAUGGAGCAAUAAGUACAGAUUUUCCUGAGUGUCCCACA